AGUCGUAACAAGGUAUCCGUAGGUGAACCUGCGGAUGGAUCAUUAGCAAAGCAAAUAUAGUUUUGUAAGUAUUGUGAGCAGUUUUGAAUGUGGGCAGCAGUUGGGUGUUUUAUCGGUGUAUGUUGAUGUAUGUCGAUGUAUAUGUCGAUGAAGGGCUGGCUGCGCCGGGUUUGUACACGUAUUGUGCGCGACGACUGACGUCUACUUUAGUAGUGUAAAGUACAGACAACUUUUAGCAACGGAUCUCUUGGCUCUC
rnacentral:misc_RNA from 1 species